rnacentral:rRNA from 1 species
AGAGUUUGAUCCUGGCUCAGGACGAACGCUGGCGGCGCACCUAAGACAUGCAAGUCGAACGGUCGUCUUUUCGUCGCAAGACGGGGAGGGGAUAGUGGCGGACGGGUGAGUAACACAUAAGGGACCUGCCCUGGAGUGGGGGAUAGCCUGGGGAAACCGAGGGUAAGCCCGCGUACGCUCCUCCGCAUAGUGGCGGGGGAGGAAAUGCCUCUUGCUAAGAGGGGAAGCUCUGGGAGGGCCUUGUGGCGGAUUAGCUAGUUGGGGGGGUAGAAGCCUCCCAAGGCGACGAUCCGUCGCUGGUCUGAGAGGAUGACCAGCCACACCGGGACUGAGACACGGCCCGGACUCCUACGGGAGGCAGCAGUUAGGGAAUUUUCCCAAUGGGCGCAAGCCUGAGGGAGUGACGCCGCGUGCGGGAGGACGCUUUUCGGAGUGUAAACCGCUUUUGGGGGGGACGAGAUGGACGGUACCCCUCGAACAAGCCCCGGCUAACUACGUGCCAGCAGCCGCGGUAAUACGUAGGAGGCGAGCGUUGUCCGGAUUUAUUGGGCGUAAAGGGCGCGUAGGCGGCCGUCGCGCAUCCGGCGUGAAAUCUCCCCGCUCAACGGGGAGGGGUCGGCGGAGAUGGCGGGGCUAGAGGGCGGUAGAGGCAGAUGGAAGUCCCGCAGUAGUGGUGAAAUGCGUAGAGAGCGGGAGGAACACCAGAGGCGAAGGCGAUCUGCUGGGCCGGCUCUGACGCUGAGGCGCGACAGCCAGGGGAGCGAACGGAAUUAGAUACUCCGGUAGUCC